UACGGAGGGUGCGAGCGUUGUCCGGAAUCACUGGGCGUAAAGGGCGCGUAGGCGGCGUGGUAAGUCACUUGUGAAAUCUCUGAGCUUAACUCAGAACGGCCAAGUGAUACUGCUGUGCUAGAGUGCAGAAGGGGCAAUCGGAAUUCUUGGUGUAGCGGUGAAAUGCGUAGAUAUCAAGAGGAACACCUGAGGUGAAGACGGGUUGCUGGGCUGACACUGACGCUGAGGCGCGAAAGCCAGGGGAGCAAACGGG
rnacentral:rRNA from 1 species